rnacentral:lncRNA from 1 species
UGUGCUCAGUGCCAAAAUAUCUGAUCAAAAAAUAACCAAAAUAAGCAAACACCAAGACGACUGUUCUGGGGACUAUGGUCAGGGAGAGCCGAUGGCUCAGAUCCAGGAAACCCUAGGCUCCAGGGUACCUGUUUCACUACCCCUCUCCCCCAGGGAAGCUUUGCUGAACGUUCUGAUAACCUAGAAGGCCCCUUUCCAAGGAAUCCCCCACAGCACAAUCUCCCAGGACUCUGAGAUUUCCAAUAGUUCCUGUCCAAGGGGCAGCUUUGCCUGAGGUGGGAGCAUCGGGAGAGGGUGAGGGCUGGGGAUCACUUCCCAGGAGCUGGCAGAUGAAGCUUCUAAGAAGCUCCCUCCCUGCCCUAGCCACAAGCAUCCGCACUCACUCAUUCACCCACCCCUCUUCUGGCCCUUCUUGCCUUAGGCUUAUCUCCCUUUCUGUGCACCCAACCCCCACUAGGCCACUUUUGUUUUCUCAUAGCCCAACGUUCUGAUGGGAUGAACAGAGGGGAGGAAGCUGACAGUCUCCAGCCCCCUACCAACUCCUCAGUGGAGGUGCCAGAGAGGGGUACCAUAAAAGUAGCUGACAUUCCGAGGCCUCUGCCCACCUCUAGCUCACCUUCCUAGGGGAGAUUCCUGAACAUCCCUGACCACUCACACCGCACUCCAAUUUUCCCUCCCACUUCUUGGGAGCCUUCUAGUUCCCUGGAGACCUCCUCUCAAGUGGGCAUGUCCCCAGGAGGGGUAAAAGGAUAGAGCCUCACAUAAGUUAGAAAUGGGCAGAGCUCUUGGUACUACCUGUCUCUUUUCCUUCUUCAUCCACCACUUUCCCCUCUGAGGAGGCUUGUCUAGAUGUCUGGAGCACUGGGAAUUGGGGGAAUGAGGAGGAGCCCCUCAACUCUGUCUCAGUCACAUCACUUAAUCACACCUCUCCUUCUGCCCCACCCCUCUGGCAGUGAAGGCUCACUCCCAACAGAUCUCCACCCGCUUCCGGGAAUGGCCAGAACUCGCCUCCUGCGUCUCUCUUUCCAUUUCUAUCUUCCCCUCCCCCCAAGAGCUGUAGUGGCCUUGGCCUCCUGGCAGUGCCUUCCCAGCCUGUUUCCAUAGAAACUGGGUAGGCUGUGCAGUGCAAGAAUCGGAGGGGAGACAGGAGCAGGAAGGAGGGACCAAGCCUUAGGGACAGCCCCCGAUGAAAGGACCGAGAGAAACGGGGAGCUGCCCCAUGCAAACUGAGGGUGGGACCCCGAUUUGGGGAACCAGGCGGGAUGGAGCGUGGAGUGGGGGGAAGAGGUAGCAAAAGCUUGGUAGCUGGCUUUGCUGCCUCCUGAGGAAGGGGCACAGAAUCUCCCCUUCCCUGCCACAGGUAGUGGGGGUUCCUCCCUCCCCACCCCCUUAAAAUCCUUCUUUACCAGGAACUGCCUGAUCCAGAUGAAUCUCUUCUCCGGGGCCCACUAGUCUCUAAGAAAGGGACCAUGGAAUUCCUUUCUUCCCCGAAGAGCUCCCCACUCUCCCUGACCAGAGUCUCCUUGAUCUGGAGGCUGGGCAGCCCCCGGGGACCCGGUGGCCGCCGCUGACCCCGUGGCAUGCGGCUCUCAAAGGCCCCAUUCAUCUCUGGGGGCUGAAGGCGCCAUUGUCCCCAGCGGGGGGUGGUGUGGGGAGUGAAGGGGUCUGGACUCAGAAGGAAGGAAUGCGUCUGGAGAAGUUGCCCCCGGGGCUCCAGUCUCAAGGUCCCCACCAGAUCUCCAUCGGGACCCUUUCACGACCCCGAGCCCUUUCCCCAGGAGCUCCCAGCAACCUUCGCGCUUCUCCGGAGGGUGGGGUCUGCCGCGGCGCGGGGGCAGCCUCACCCCACCUCACUGCUGGACUCCGGAGAACCAUUUCUGGGACCGGGAGCUGUCCAGCGCCUCGGGUCCUGACGGACCGCUGAUUCGCCUAGGUGCCAUCGGACAAGCGGGUGCUCAGAGCCAGCUCUGGUGGCUCGGGAGCUUUCCCCCAACCAGGCUAAGACCACUAAACCACGCCUGGCCCGGAUGAGCUUGGAUGCAGCUCCGAACGUGGGGAUCCAUCGGUGCUGAGAACUGACCUAGGGAGCACCUUGACCCCUGCCCUAUCUGGGCACAAUUGAAGGGCCAAGUGCCACCAGCCCACUUUCCUGGAACCCUGUCUCAGACUUGGGCAGGAAGAAGAGCCAUGAGAGGUCAGGCCUUGCCUCUCCCCGCGUUCCCCAUCUUUCUCUGUGCCUCUGUUUCUGUUUUCCUCCGGCUCUCCUCCCUCCUCCUCUCUUUCCUUCCCUGCUGGGUUGGGGGCUGCUGAAUUAUCAUUUCUCAGCUCUGCUAAUGUGCUCCCCGCUGCGGGAAGGGAUCAUAAUUCUGGGAGAUGAUUAAGUUUCAAAUUGUUUUUCUUUGUGUUGUUGAAGAUGAGGCUUUAAUAUGGUCCUUCCUCAGCCCGGGAGCCUGCCCCCAUUCCUCCACUCCUAGUACUCUCCUCACUAAUAGGCUAGGUUUGGUACCAUGUCUUUUGUGGUCCUUGCCAAACUUUUAUGUGUAUGGGGUGGUAAACGAGAGGGGUAUAGACCUACCCUUUACUCAAAGGGGAAUUUUUUUGUUUUUGUUUUUUUUUGUUUUUUUUGAGACCGAGCCUCACUCUGUCGCCCAGAUUGGAGUGCAGUGGCGCCAUCUCAGCUCACUGCAACCUCUGCCUCCCGGGUUCAAGUGAUUCUCCUGCCUUAGCCUCCCGAGUAGCUGGGAUUAGAGCUGCGCGCCUCCACGCCUGGCUAUUUUUUUAUAUUUCACUAGAGACAGGUUUCACCAUGUUGGCCAGGCUGGUCUCGAACUCCUGACCUCAAAUAGUCUGCUCGCUUCAGCAUCCCAAAGUGCUGGGAUUACAGGCAUGAGCCACUGUGCCUGGCUAGGAAUACAUUUAAUAUAGUGGUGAGAAACACUGGUUUGGAAGUCGGACAAGUCAACAUUUAAAUCCUGACUCUGCCACUUACUACUCAGGUGACCUUGGAUGAGUUACUUGAACUGUCUGAGCCUCCGUUUCUUCAUCUACUAAAUGGGGAUACUGUGAAUUACCUCAUGGAGUGUUGGUGAGGAUUUAAAGUGAUAAAUCAUGUAAAGUGGUUAGCCGGGUGUACAGCUUAUGGUAAAACUCAGUGAAUGUUAGUAGAUAUUACUACCCACAUACCUUACCCUGUUUGAUCCUGCUUCCCAUAGCCUUCCUGACUUUGUUCUUCUGUUCAAUGUUUAUCUAAUGCCUACUGUUUUCCAGGUACUGUACAAUAGAGAGUAAGUUAUCCAGGAGUGAGGAAGUUGGCUUUCUUACCUAUUUGUUCCUCAAACACCCCUUCCUUUACCUCCUUCCUUCCUUCCUUUCAACUGAAGUUUACUCUCAUUUUACCCUCCCACCGGCUUCCAGUUCUUCCUGCAUUGUUCCUACUCCAUUUUUCCUUCUUUCACUGAUGUCUUAUCACUUCACUUUGAUUCUUAUCCUCCUAAUACACAUACAUUUUUUCACCUUCUACAUUAUUCUUCAUCCCAUUUGGGGCCAUCAUAGUGAAAAAAAGGGCUGAAUUUUCAAACUAGGAAAGAGAAUUCUGUCAUGCUGUGUGUAUGUGUAUAUGUGUGUGUGUGUGUCUGAGGAACACACACAUUAAUUCACAUUCAACAGUAACUCUAUAGCUGACUUCUGAACUCCUACGUUUGAACUGUGUGCUUGUUUGCCUCUCUAUCCCCUCUAUUUAAGCUCUUAAAAUACAAGUCUAUUUCUUUGCCUGCCUACCUGUCUGCUCUGUCCUUGCCUCUCUCUCUUUUGGAAUUUGUUGUUUUAAACAUCUUUAUUGAGAUACAACUGAUAUACAAAGAACUACAUGUAUUUAAUAUGUAUGAUUUGAUGAAUUUGGAUGUCUUUGUUAUAUUCUAAAUGGGAAUGCUUACUGGUUGUUAGUAUGAGAAGCUGAUUUAUGAUAAUGUGUUUUUGUGUUUGCUUAACUGGCCUCCUACCUAUCACCAUACUGGUGAUGGGUUCAGGAUACACUACACCAAAAUGUGGCAACUUGACAUUUGAGAAAACAGCAGAAGCAGGAAGGUCCCUCUCCCUUCUUCCUGGAAGUGGGCCAAAAACCUCUGACCGUCUUCCUCCUUUUCUCCUGAGGUAGAACAUAAAACCCUAAUUCCAGAGGUAUCCUCCCCAUACCCAGAGGAAAGGAGCAUCCUUGUCCUCAAGUUACACAGAGUUACUAAGUAGAAUUUGAACAAAGAGACCUUGCUAAGUUUUCUCCAGUUCACUACCACUAGACUAUACCUCCUUUGUCCAGUCAUACUUCUGCUUGCCUGUCCACUCUUAAUAAGAAUCCCAGUCUGGCC